rnacentral:tRNA from 1 species
GGGUGGUUAGCUCAGUGGUAGAGCACUGCCUUCACACGGCAGGGGUCACUGGUUCGAACCCAGUACCACCCA